ensembl:lncRNA novel transcript
AGGACCUAAGUAGCUCCUGGGGAUGGGAAAGAGAUGACUGACUGAGGUGGUUGAUGGGAUUCUUACAGCAACAAAGCACCAUCUUGGAAGCAGAGAGCCACCCUCACCAGAACUGAAUGCAGGCACCGUGACCUUGAACUUCCCAGCCUCCAGAACUUGCUGCCAGGACCUGCAGAACUCCAGAUGGAUUCCCCUGGCUGACACUUGAAAGAUUUUUGCUCUAACUUAAUAGAAAUGACAGACUGGCAAAGCCAUAGUUAAAUCAGCUGGAGGAGCCACAAAUCAAAUCAUCUUUACAGAAAGAUGUGAGUGCACAUGGAAAUUUAUGGAGUCUCUCAGCAUUGUAGAAGAGCCUCUGUUUCUUCUCACUGGUUCCUGUCCUCCUCAGCUUGGUAUAUAACUCCUGAGGGCUGAAUACCUGGUUGCUGAAGGAUCCAGUCCCUGCCCUAUAACCGAGGAAGAAUUUCUACUUCCCCUUCCUGUCCAGAAGUGAUAUUCCCAGUUGCCUUCAACACGGAACCACCGCUUUCCAGGCUUGGCUGUCCAGAUACCCCUGAGCUCCCC